CACGUAGGGGGCGAGCGUUGUCCGGAAUUACUGGGCGUAAAGGGCGUGUAGGCGGCCUGUCAAGUCAGGUGUGAAAUUCCAGGGCUCAACCCUGGGCGUGCACUUGAAACUGGCGGGCUUGAGUGCAGGAGAGGAAAGUGGAAUUCCCAGUGUAGCGGUGAAAUGCGUAGAUAUUGGGAGGAACACCAGUGGCGAAGGCGACUUUCUGGCCUGUAACUGACGCUGAGGCGCGAAAGCUAGGGGAGCAAAC
rnacentral:rRNA from 1 species